UACGUAGGGGGCAAGCGUUGUCCGGAAUCAUUGGGCGUAAAGAGCGCGUAGGCGGCCCGAUAAGUCCGCUGUGAAAGUCAAGGGCUCAACCCUUGAAUGCCGGUGGAUACUGUCGGGCUAGAGUCCGGAAGAGGCGAGUGGAAUUCCUGGUGUAGCGGUGAAAUGCGCAGAUAUCAGGAGGAACACCUAUUGCGAAGGCAGCUCGCUGGGACGUUACUGACGCUGAGACGCGAAAGCGUGGGGAGCAAACAGG
rnacentral:rRNA from 1 species